GCUCGGAUGGCGGAAUUGGCAGACGCGCAGGAUUCAGGAUCCUGUGGGAGCAAUCCCGUGGGGGUUCGAAUCCCCCUCCGAGCACUA
rnacentral:tRNA from 1 species